rnacentral:rRNA from 1 species
GACAGGUGGUGCAUGGUUGUCGUCAGCUCGUGUCGUGAGAUGUUGGGUUAAGUCCCGCAACGAGCGCAACCCUUAUUGUUAGUUGCCAUCAUUUAGUUGGGCACUCUAGCGAGACUGCCGGUGACAAACCGGAGGAAGGUGGGGAUGACGUCAAAUCAUCAUGCCCCUUAUGACCUGGGCUACACACGUGCUACAAUGGGAAGUACAACGAGUUGCGAAGUCGCGAGGCUAAGCUAAUCUCUUAAAGCUUCUCUCAGUUCGGAUUGUAGGCUGCAACUCGCCUACAUGAAGCCGGAAUCGCUAGUAAUCGCGGAUCAGCACGCCGCGGUGAAUACGUUCCCGGGCCUUGUACACACCGCCCGUCACACCACGAGAGUUUGUAACACCCGAAGUCGGUGAGGUAACCUUUUUGGAGCCAGCCGCCUAAGGUGGGAUAGAUGAUUGGGGUGAAGUCGUAACAAGGUAGCCGUAUCGGAAGGUGCGGCUGGAUCACCUCCUUUCUAAGGAA